rnacentral:rRNA from 1 species
GAUGAACGCUAGCUACAGGCUUAACACAUGCAAGUCGAGGGGAAACGAUAGAGAAAGCUUGCUUUUUCUAGGCGUCGACCGGCGCACGGGUGAGUAACGCGUAUCCAACCUGCCCACCACUUGGGGAUAACCUUGCGAAAGUAAGACUAAUACCCAAUGAUAUCUCAAGAAGACAUCUGAAUGAGAUUAAAGAUUUAUCGGUGAUGGAUGGGGAUGCGUCUGAUUAGCUUGUUGGCGGGGUAACGGCCCACCAAGGCGACGAUCAGUAGGGGUUCUGAGAGGAAGGUCCCCCACAUUGGAACUGAGACACGGUCCAAACUCCUACGGGAGGCAGCAGUGAGGAAUGUUGGUCAGUGGGCGAGAGCCUGAACCAGCCAAGUAGAGUGCAGGAUGACGGCCCUAUGGGUUGUAAACUGCUUUUAUAAGGGAAUAAAGUGAGUCUCGUGAGGCUUUUUGCAUGUACCUUAUGAAUAAGGACCGGCUAAUUCCGUGCCAGCAGCCGCGGUAACAC